rnacentral:rRNA from 1 species
GCAAGUCGAACGGUAGAGGGGGCAACCCCUUGAGAGUGGCGAACGGGUGAGUAAUAUAUCGGAACGUGCCCAGUCGUGGGGGAUAACGUAGCGAAAGUUACGCUAAUACCGCAUACGAUCUAAGGAUGAAAGCGGGGGAUCGCAAGACCUCGCGCGACUGGAGCGGCCGAUAUCAGAUUAGGUAGUUGGUAGGGUAAAGGCCUACCAAGCCAACGAUCUGUAGCUGGUCUGAGAGGACGACCAGCCACACUGGAACUGAGACACGGUCCAGACUCCUACGGGAGGCAGCAGUGGGGAAUUUUGGACAAUGGGCGAAAGCCUGAUCCAGCCAUUCCGCGUGCAGGAUGAAGGCCCUCGGGUUGUAAACUGCUUUUGUACAGAACGAAAAGGUUUCUAUUAAUACUAGGAGCUCAUGACGGUACUGUAAGAAUAAGCACCGGCUAACUACGUGCCAGCAGCCGCGGUAAUACGUAGGGUGCAAGCGUUAAUCGGAAUUACUGGGCGUAAAGCGUGCGCAGGCGGUUAUAUAAGUCAGAUGUGAAAUCCCCGGGCUCAACCUGGGAACUGCAUUUGAGACUGUAUAGCUAGAGUACGGUAGAGGGGGAUGGAAUUCCGCGUGUAGCAGUGAAAUGCGUAGAUAUGCGGAGGAACACCGAUGGCGAAGGCAAUCCCCUGGACCUGUACUGACGCUCAUGCACGAAAGCGCGGGGAGCAAACAGGAUUAGAUACCCUGGUAGUCCACGCCCUAAACGAUGUCAACUGGUUGUUGGGUCUUUACUGACUCAGUAACGAAGCUAACGCGUGAAGUUGACCGCCUGGGGAGUACGGCCGCUAGGUUGAAACUCAAAGGAAUUGACGGGGACCCGCACAAGCGGUGGAUGAUGUGGUUUAAUUCGAU